CCUACGGUGGGCAGCAGUGGGGAAUCUUGCGCAAUGGGGGAAACCCUGACGCAGCAACGCCGCGUGCGGGACGAAGGCCCUCGGGCUGUAAACCGCUUUCAGCAGGGAAGACGUCGACGGUACCUGCAGAAGAAGCUCCGGCGAACUACGUGCCAGCAGCCGCGGUAAUACGUAGGGGGCGAGCGUUAUCCGGCGUCAUUGGGCGUAGAGCGCGCGUAGGCGGCCGCCUAAGCGGAACCUCUAACCCCGGGGCUCGACCUCGGGCCGGGUUCCGGACUGGGCGGCUCGAGUGCGGUAGAGGAGAGCGGAAUUGCCGGUGUAGCGGUGGAAUGCGCAGAUAUCGGGAAGAACACCGAUGGCGAAGGCAGCUCUCUGGGCCGUCACUGACGCUGAGGCGCGAAAGCUGGGGGAGCGAACAGGAUUAGAUACCCGAGUAGUC
rnacentral:rRNA from 1 species